GACAGAGGUCCCAAGCGUUAGGCGGAAUCACUGGGCUUAAAGCGUGUGUAGGCGGAUUUGUAAGUACCUUGUGAAAUCCCACGGCUCAACCGUGGAACUGCUUGGUAUACUGCUUAUCUUGGGCCAUCUAGGGGCGAGCGGAACAAACGGUGGAGCGGUGAAAUGCGUAGAUAUCGUUUGGAACGCCAAUGGUGAAAACAGCUCGCUGGGGAUGUGCCGACGCUCAGAUACGAAAGCCAGGGGAGCGAACGGG
rnacentral:rRNA from 1 species